rnacentral:lncRNA from 1 species
CAUGACUACGACAGCUCCCGUAACUUCAGACAACAGGAACAGUAUGUAAGAAGAGCUGCAUUAUCUAGAUUCUAGGUCUCAAAAUAUAAGGAAUGACCUCACGAGUCACAGCCCAGUUGUUCCUAUAUGUAGUUAGAAGGAGAUAUCUGAAGCUUCUAGUAUUGAUUAAGAAGUGGAGACCACCUCAUCUGUCCUCCUCAAUCUUAUUCAUGCACUACUGAGACGCACCUACAGGAGGAGAAACACUUCCAAGCACACGAUGUGAAUUUGUAUCUUUACACACCUAACAUACCGACUAUUCCUGAAUCCUUAUCCAGUUUGAAAGAGAAUACAAUGCAAGUAAAACCUGAAUUGAUUUUAGCCUGAUGUUUUCCCGUGGAACAGGGACUCAUAAAUCACUCCAUAUGUCAAACUCUGCCCUUCUUCCCCGAUU